GGAGAGAUGGCAGAGCGGUUGAAUGCACCGGUCUUGAAAACCGGCGUGCCCGUAAGGGUACCGGGGGUUCGAAUCCCCCUCUCUCCGC
rnacentral:tRNA from 1 species